ACCAUCACAGCAGUAACCUGGUAAGAAAGACUAUUUAUUUCAUCACUCUUACGGGGUAUUGAUCAGCGGAGCUAUCCGAGCCCUGCGGUGAGAUUGUAUUCCACGCAGAGUCCACGCAGGCAGGUAGGCAGGACCACUGCGGCAUAAACCGACCUGUCAGGCCCUCCUGUAGUCCCAUAAACCUGGCUGUCCCUCUGUGAGCGCAUGGAGAAGAGAUUCAAACACAACACAACCUGUCAGGGAUGUUUUGAGGGGCUAGGAUAAGUAAUGAAACAAAUAUUUGUCUCCUGAAAGACGGAUAUGUGGUUUUUAGAGCAGUAACUGCACAUUUCCAACAACACAUAUCAAGAUUGAUCAAGGCCUAUUAAUGUUUUAUUAGGACAACAAUUUAACUGCAUGAGCAUGCGCCUGACAACUUUCACAAAGGCUCACAAACCAACAAGCUGUGAGUAAAAUUGUAACAGCAGCUAAUGUUACAGUAGCAAACAUAUUAGAGCUAAGUUGGUGCAAAAAGCUAGCCUUGAACGUUUUCUGUUAUUUUGUGACCACCUAGUUGUGUAGAAAGUAACACCCAUAUGCUGUCUGACUUGAUAUCAGCACAAAAGCAGCCAUAUUGAAGCGUUUCAGGCUGCAGCUUAACAGAGCGUAUAUUAGUGGUUUCACACUUCCCUCUGUAUAAUAAAUUUUUGAUCUGAUUGUUUUGCAAAACUUCUCUGUAGGACUCUCUGACAUAAUGAAAGGAUCUGAGUGACCUUAGGACAUAGUACUAUGUUGCAGCCAGUCUUCAACCUUAUUUCACUUUUUGCCCAGUGCCCUUGCAUCCACACCCACACUGAUAAGCUCCAUUGUAAUUAAUAAGAGGACUUUGUCCAUGUGGUUUAAAGGUUGGUCUAAAUCAUUGACAGUAUAUUAAUAUGGACUGCCGGCCUCCAUCGCAAAGCCAAAAGACCACCUCGUGAUGAAAUCUGGCUUGUGGUGCCGCAGGACUAAUGUCACACACCCUUUGCAUUGAUUAAAACUAACUUUUUAAUUUAUCACUGUGAUACAAAAGGAAGCCAUGGUAACCAAAAUUCUGGUUCCUUAACUAACUGGUACCUUAGUGACAUAAGUUAUCUGUUCCAGACACAGGUUUUAUUAUCAACACAUCACAGACGGGUUAACUGCUUUUUUUUAAAGCUCCCAUGAGGAACUUUUUUAGCAAUGCCAAAUUUUUACACCCCUUGUAGACAAAGCAGUCUUUGCUCAUUUGGUCCUCUAUAUGCUUCCCUAGAGUCUAUCUUAUCUUUUUGACCUCUUUAUUUAUGAUUGAUGAAAUUAUAAAAGCAGGGCUGUAUCUUCAGCUACUUGCAUUAUAUCUACCCCCUGACUCCGGUUUCAGGCAAUAAAAAUUACAAUCUAAAUUGAUCAAUUUUAUCGCUAAUGGUCUUGUUUGGUCGUGGAUAUCAUGAAAGAGUAUUUAUAUGAAUUUCAGUCCAUUUCAUAAACAUAAAACAAUCCUCAUAGGAGCUUAAAGUCUCAUCUCAUGUUGCAGCAAAGAUGAUGUUUUGCAGGUGCAAUGGCAAAAAGUAAAUGUGCAAAAGUAAAGCAAAGCUUCAGUAAAAUCCUGAGUCAAGGUUGGUUUUGAAAGUUAGUUAACCCAAGUCACAGAGAUAUGGAUCAAAGUAGCGGCUCCUCAAAGGUCCAACACCUUCUGAAAUGUAAAUCAAAGACAAAGUGUCCUUGGCAGAAAGACUGCUGAGACUUGAACAUGAUAAAACCAGGACUGAAGUGACUCCUUAUUAAAAUUUCUCAGACUCAGACAUUCGAAAUGAAGAUGCCAUGAUACUGACCUGCAGUAACAGCUUUGUUGGAGUGUAACACAUACAAAGAUAUGCAGCAUCCCGUCGUAGAGACCGUCUCUUCAAAGCUGCCUCCUGGUACUUAAAGAUUAUGUAAAUAACCUCUCACCUGUGUGCAUCAAAGUCAGGAACAUCAGCAGGGUUGCAUUAAAGAUGAUUUUUGAACAUGUGAGCAGGGCCUCCUACAUGACCACUAAUCUUGGAGACGCUGAUAAAUAGAGCUUGAAAUCAGGACGCUCAGUAGGACGUGCUCAGCGCUCUGAAGACUCGUUUCAGACGUGAGGGGGGGUCUCAGUGUUGAAUCAUGAAAACUAAAACCUUUGAAACAGAAAGAUAUGAAGCAUCAGGGGGUGGCUUGUUUUUGCUUGGAUGCAGCAGAGCCAUGAUUACACGGUAAAAUAAACUAUUAUAGUUCAGUUUAGGAAGCAAUUAAAGAGCUGAAUAAUGACGAGUAACAACAGUAGUUGAUACUCUGCAGGGAUAUAAUUUUUUAUUCCUGCAGUGAAGCUGUGUGCCCGGCCAAAUGCUUUUUACAUCAUCCCACCAGUUUGUUGCACAAGUCUUGCAUGACAUACGCCACAUGCACUCAAAACAUGUCACUUUUUGACCAGCAGUGUUUCACUGGAAAGUAUGAGGGUGAACUUUUUCUGUUUGCUUCAGAGUUGUAGAUUUUAGGAAACAAGUUUGGCAAGUCAGUAUAACUAACCUAAUUGAAUGACGUGAAGUUCUCAAGUUAUGUCAUAAGAAUUCUACCAGGAUAUGAUUUAAAUUUAAUGAUACAUUUCAGCUCUAGAGGAGUUGUCCGGCUUCCUUCUGUCCCCAUUAUAAGUGCAGUUUUUAUGUGAUUAUGUUGCUAUUAUGGUUUGAGACUAUACUUGAGUUCAACAUUCCUUUAAGGAAGAUUUUGUUGUCAUGAUUCACCACAGUAAACGUCCAAAGAAUAGAGGCCUGCAAACUUGCUACAUGCCAUAAACACAUAAACAACCCCCAAGUUUCCCAAUAUGAUCCUGAACAAGCGAUUUUUUUAAACCAUUGCCUUGAAAUGUUUCAAUUUCAAGAGUAUUUCUCCCAAAGAAUCAUCUGCGUGCUUGUCUCAUAUCUUUGCUGCUGUUCCUUUGAUUGCCCUGCACUUAUAUGAGAAAAUUAUACCAUCUGUGAAUUGUUUCCAUUAUAGAUUUCGUGGAAAAUCAGACAAUCCUGUAUAAAGCUAAUGCAGUCCAUGUGUGGCCUCCCUCAUGCUGAGGGAUUCCAUACUGAAGUCUUGGUCCAGCGUCUUCUUGUUACUAUUAAAUCUAUAUAAAGUUUAUAUACUUGCAAAUAAAGUAUUCUGAUUCUGGUUCUGAUUGAAAGUCUUACUGGAAUUAAAAAUGAGGGCUGUCAAAAACACAAAGAGAGCUGAGUGAAAUGGAGCUUAAACAAAUUGAAGAAAACAGACAUGAAAUAAUGUCAAACUACAAAAGCUUUAGUGAUGUUACAGGACUGGAUGAACAGGAGGAAAAGUCCUAUACAAGGCUUAUGUUCGAAUAAAUUUGAAUAAAAAUACCAGUUUGUUGCCAUUGGAGCCUUAGCAGUCAACAAAGCUGUGGGACUGUUUUCUAACUGCAUAAAUAAGUCCUUUUGAAAUCAUUGUAAUCACUUUUAAAUCAAUACUUAGUGCCAGUUCAUUGGUAGCUUGGUAUAAAGUGCGAUUUUGUAUAGUGAGCAGGUGAUUUUGCAAAAUAGGACACUUUCAUAACUCUGAUGCAAAGAGGGAUUCUGUUUCACAUAACCACCUGUUCAGAUACAUUUACCCUUAGUUUUAGCUACAGUAUUUAAAAACAACCACACACCCCUGUUUCUGCAUCCCCUAUGAUACCCAUCAGGGUGCAUUAUGGGGAAAAGAAGUUUCCCAAGAUCAGUUGAAACUCAGGGAUACAGUGAAGCGCACCAGAUUAGAGGAUUGCAUCAGGUAUCCACAAGAGCUUUCAAGUAUGGAGUUUUACCCGUACAACUUACAACAAGUACCUUUAAUCCAAGUAAACAAACACACUUUCACUCUGAUAACACACCACCUCGCACUAAUGGGUUACAUUCAAACAUGUAUCGUGUAUUCUUUUACCACUCUAAGUUUACACAGUUAACUCUCACAGUCUGGGCCAAAUACGAACACAGAUCAUGUCGCAUGAUCUGAACACCUCCACUUUGAUCAGGAGUCAGAGUGGGAGGCCCCCCCAUGACUUCUGCUCCACAGAGAGGAAACAGCAAAGUUUGAUGUUCGUGAAGUGAAUUGUGAAAACAGCCCAGGUGCAUCACAUCAAACCUUCCUCUGUGUUUUUUAUUCAUGAAUACAGCGUGUGACGAGGUAUGGAGAGAGGAACGGUGAAAUAGUUGAACAGCCUGGGGCCAAAGGCUUAGGCCGGUGAAUAAUUGAAAAAAUCCUGACAUCUCCAGUCGCACCGCUGCCUCUCUGCUGGGAUUAAUGGCUGUCUGAGUUCAUAUUAGGGUGGCGCUUCACAGGCUCACCUCAGAGAUGCAGGUCCACAGUUAUGAGAGAAAAUCAGGACUCAUGUAAUUCUGUUGACUCGUGAAGGUAGAAUGAGUUGCAGAGCUAUUUAAUUUAAACUCUUGUGAACUCUUAUUAGCAAAUAAUAAAAUAGACUGAAACUAAUAAUAAUUCCUCAAUAUGACCUGUAAAAGAAAAUAAAACUAUUAAAGGGGAGAUCGGUUAUUUCUUGAACCUAUCACCCCUGCCGCAGGGUAGGUGUCACUGAUAAAACCCAAGCUGUUAAAAAAAAUAGAUAGUAUUUCUACAGAGGUGCUUUAAAUCCAGGGGGGUACCACAAGAAUCAGUUCUGGGCCCCCUACUAUUUACUAAUUAAAUAAGUUAUCUAGGACAGAAUGUCCAAAAUGCUUCUUUUCACUUUUAUGCUGACGACGCUGUUAUUUAUUGCUGUUUACCUACGCCUGUUAAAGCUGAUCAAAUCUUCAGUAUUCAACAUUUAAUUUAUUAUAAGAUCAGCUUUGACAACUGCAGCUUAAUCUAAAUACAGACAGAGCUAAGCUUUUGUUUUUUUACAUUGUCAAGAGCAGAGAUCUCAUCGGUGAAAAUCAUAACCAAAGAUAGAUACUGAGUCGACUUGAAUGUAUUUCAACCCUUUGUUAAAAGUCUUGAAGCCGGGCUUUUUCUAUGCACUCAUUUUAGCUGACUGCCAUAACAGACGUCUUUUAUGUUGUUGUUGAAACUUUGUGACUAACCUCCCUUAGUAAAGGUCAAAUAAGUUGAUAAGUGUGCAUAGCAAAAUCAGCAAAUGAGAAAUCAUCCCACUUUGUCUACAGGGGUCACCAAAAUGUUCCUCAUAGGGGUUUUAAUCUUCUAGAGAGGGCCGUAUUUGACAAGAGAAAAGAUCAAAUGUGUUACUUAACAAAAUUAACAUGCUUGUUUAUUUUUGAAGAUCAUUUGUGGUUUGGGGUUGAUUUGAUUUGAUUAAGAGCAAAGGCGCACUGUUUGCAGACAGCAUCAACCCUUCUGUUCAAAUCUUUCUUUUUUUAUUUUAUCAUUUUAUUUUUGUGAUGAUUUUAUUUUGUUUUUAUUUUCUGUGACAAUUUUCAUAUCUCCCUUUCUACAUUUCCUCUCUUUAAAUCUGUCUUAUAGAAUGAGACAUUAAAGAGUUUUUGGACACAAAAAAAGAUGGUUUCCUGUCAACAAGAGAUUUUAAAAUAAACUUUAACUCCCUGGAAAUGCAGAAAUACAAGCACAUCAGUGGCAUUGCUGCAGACUGCAGAACAUCUCAGUCUACUGAAUGAUGCAUGUGCACCUCUGCAUCUAAAAGACCCCCAAGCUGCCCAAAGUGCCUACGUGAGCCUUACUCAUUUUAAGCACAAACAAACUGACUAAAAUAUUACAGGGGUUUCUGUGCAUGAAUAUUUAUCACAUUACGACUGAACAAGAUGAUGUAUAAAAUAAAAAUAAAACAGAGUAGGGGGGGAUGCCAGUCUCUAUUUAUAUGCUCAUUUAUCUGCCAAACAGUGUCCAUCUAUAUAUGCUUUACAUAAUUAUAUAACGUCCCUGCUGUUGCUAUGCAUGAAGAAACCCCUUACCUCCUUUUUGGCCCUUCUGCUGCGGCAGAGAGCUCAUCAGGGCUGGAAAUAAAGAGAAGCAAAUCUCUCCAGCCACUUUUUGUAGUACACGGGUACAACACUGCCCCAGGAAAUAGCCACAGCCGCCGAUAAAAAUCUUCAUAGCUGUCACAUUUAACCAAAUUAACCACCACUUAUCAAAAUGAUAACGGCAUUAGCAUGAUAAAGCGUCUAAAAUUCCCUCUUGUCUUGAUUGGCUGAUUUUGACUUUUCUAUUUUUGACAAACUGCAUACUCAGCUUGAUUUGACUCAGCUUUUGAUAACAGCUUUUUAUUCUCAAAACCCAUAAUAUUUCUUGCACAUGUAAAAUGGUUGGUGAUAAAUAGCCCAAAAUUGCCUUUUUUUAACCAGAUGGGCUCAUGCUCCAUUGUCAGACUAUACUCAGUUAGCAGGGUAAUUUGUGGGUAUUAUCUCUGUCUGCCUGCAGGGUUUGAGCUAUAGCCUCUGCAGUUUGGUUGGGACUGGCUGAGAUUAACAGGUCACUCAGGGUCUUUUAGGUUUAAUAUUUGUUUUGCAUGUUGUUUGAAAACUAAUUUUCCCCAGUUCAUUACUAUCCUCUUAAAACAUACAUAGAAAUAUAUGUACUUUUGAUUAACUAAGAAAAUAAUGUCCUUCUUCAGCAUUUGCACAAGAAUUAGUGGAGAUUUAAACAGCUUUAUGUAGCUUGCUGAUUCACAUUUGGGAGUAAAAUGAUGUACAUAAACCGCUUUGACUCCUCUCAGUGUCUCGUUAUCCUGCCAGCUCUUACAGUCUCAAAGGAGCGCCAGGCAUAUUACUCAAAAUACUUGCAAAACUCCAUAAAAUUAGUGGUUACAGCAGAGUACCCAAAGUUUCUUGCACAGUAGAGUUCAGUAGUUUGAGUGUGCCAGGUUGAGUUGGUCCUGAAUUACAGGAUCUUUAAAGCCAAACUUUCUCUUUUGCUUGUGGUCUCUCCACUGCAGUGCGACAGUAAAACACCCAGAAGGGAAUCAUUUGCUUUGCUGCUAAGAGCGCUGUUUUGGGGAUACUUGAUCAGACUGGUUUUGAGGCCAUAGCUGUAUAUCAGCCUGGCCACCAGUUAUCUAUUUAACACCUGCAGCCAAUUCAGGAUGCUGAAAAAGAGGGACCACGUCCCUCCUCUGCUGCUCUCUCUCCACUUGCUUCCAGCCCAUCAAACGUUCAGUUUUAAGAUUUUGUUGUUAAGACUCUGAAUGGGUUGGUUCUGACUUCCUCAGCUCAACUCUUCUACUGUCUUUGCAGCAGCUUCCCCUAAACUGUGGGACUCCUUGUGGUUUUCUUAUUGUAGCUUGUUUUGUAAAGCCCUUUUUCCAGUCUCAGUUAUUUUAAAAUGCAUCAAUAAAGACGUCUUGGCUUGUACUGACCUGAACUCUGGCUUGCAUUUUAGCAGAAAGCGGACUCUGGAUUUUCUCUGUUAUACUGUAACUGCACUAUAACCGCCUCUGAUGGCUCAUACAGCCAGAAUAAACAGUUACAGAAAACAAAAACUGUGCUGGAUGCAUUAGAUUGUUAUAUUAAGAUUGAAAAUGAGGGUUUAUUCUUUGAAAAUAAAUGUCUUCUGCAGACAGUGCUAAUGCACAACCCUACGAUAGGAUUAAAUAACCUCAGUAAAUGGUGUAAGUAUGAAAAUGGCACUGAUAAUCCUCUGUGCUGAUGCACGGGCGUGCAUGCAGACACACGAAUAUGCGCUAACAUUUGAGUUUGUCAUGUCAUUCAAAUGGGUCAUAACUCAGGCCUGACCUGGGUUUAAUUGCCCCCCGAGCAGCCGUUUCAUUGUUUUAAAUGCCUCUCCAGCGUGGCUUGGCAGCACCAUAACUUCUUGCUGUGAGGUUUUUAAGACAACACAGUAACAAAUGCCGCCGGCGGUGCUGGAAUUGCUUUCCUGAGACGAGCUGAACAACCAAGCAUAGCAUUAUGCUUCUUCACAGAAUCGAUCCCACCCAAGGAUGCUACCUGUAUUAGGCCUCAUGCUCAGGGAUUCUUCCUAGGCACUAAAAUAGCCCGAUGUUUAUUCAUCGGCCUGUUCUGUUUGUCAGGGGAACAGGAAUCAAUGCAUGAAAAGAGAUCAGGUCCAUUUGAAAGAAUACUCUUCAUUUUCUUAAUUUGCUUAUCUAGUCAAGCAAAUUCAAACGAAUCAAAUAAUCCUUUAAACUAUUAAUUCAUCCCCACACCUCAUUUACUCUCGAUUAGACCUCAGUAAAUACAGCCUCUCAGCCUCCCUGCCCGCUCUCUUCACAUGCUCAGCACAUUCAACCGGACCAGGAUGAGGAAUACAUUUAAAAAGCUCCUUACCCCUCAUCAUCUGAAAGACAAAUAUUGUACUCUUGACUCCACUAUAUUUAGAAUAGAAUAGAAUAGUCCUUUAUUGUCAUUGUAACCAGUACAACGAAAUUAAAAAAGUGCCAGACAGUCAGUGCAUCAUAAAAACAAAUACAGUAAUAAAUAGCAGUUCUAAAUAAAUAAAUAAGUUCCGAAUAAAUAAAGUAAUCCACUGUGGAUAUUCUUGGUACUUUUACUCUGAUUGAAUGUAUUCCCUUUUCUUUUAUAAGAUCAGACUCUCAGACAGCAACAUUUGUGUAGUCCUGCCUCAGGUCUGUCCAGGUCAUUUGAAUCAGGGAGUUCAUUUAAUAGCAGCAUUGUGAAAAUACAACAAUGUUUUAAGAUGAUUUUAAAAGGCAGUCUGAACACCCAAGUAUUUUUAAAGGAAAGUUCUGUCUUUGUUCAAACUUCGCCUAAUUCAAAUAUAAUUUCUGGUUUAGGAUGGAGUUUAAAUGCCACUAAUAUUUUUAAGUAAGUUUAAAAACAUGUGCUAAGCAGAAAAAGUAGUUAUGGCGGUUAAAUUAUAGUGGCUGUAAAAAUGAAAAGUCAUUAAAACAUAGACUGUAUAUACUAUGGACAACUUGGUUCCGUCUUCCGCCAGUAUGGACUUGAAUCCGAAAAAGCUCUCGGUAUUUCCGCGAUUUUUCUCCAUUUUCUGAAACCAACAUUGCGCAGUAACGUUGUAUGCACUCCAACACUUGCGCAGUAGCAUUGUACGCAUUCGGCGGGACAGUUGUCGAGAGUCGCUGCGAUGGCGCUUGGCUCAAACAGUGUACCCCCCGGUGAGCUAUGCAAUCUUCAUACACCCAUAGGCUGUAUCAAGUGUCAAUCAUAGAAAACAUGAACCCCCUAAUAACUUUUAAAGACGGAGCUGCACAGAAAAAAGAGGACUUGAGCACAAACCAGUCUUACAAUAACUACAUGUCAACAUCGCAAACAGGGUGGAAAAAAAUUAUGUUCUGUGUAAUUAAUUUCUACAGUUUGUCCACAGCCCCAUAAGGAUGGCUGGCAGGAUUUAUGACCUAUACUACAGCCCAUCAACAGAGGGUGCUGUUCUCAGGGUGGCUUCACUACAUACAUCCUAUGGUUGCAACAGUUAGUAUAACAGGUGAUACUGUUAUGCUGGUUUAUGAGGUAAUGAUGAAAAAGUAAUGUUGCCUGUUAGGUUGUAUUGCACAUGGCCUCUGAAACUGAACCUUCAUUGAAAAGCAGUAUUGUGUGUUAUCAUUGAUAGUGGUGCUCCAUUUAUCUGGCUGUAGAGCAGAAAGUAGUUCUGGUUUGAUAGAAGAAAAAUCCUUCAAGAUGAAUUGGGGUCAACAUUAGUGGUAUCUGUCUUUGGAUGUAGAUCAUGGGGCCAAAACCCUUGGCCACCCACAACUGUGGCUGAAGGUUCUUUGAUAGGAGGUCCUCGCCAGACACUACAGUACACUAAAAAAUACGCCUAGUUUUCUACAAGGAGAUGAUUUUUCAUUAUAAUGCUCACAGCUCGUUCUUCAAAGUCUAUAAGGGAAUGAAUACUUCUAGAUCGGGGUUUAAAAGGUUUCCUCUUAUCAUGUAGCUUCACAGUGAUCAUUUAAAUCAUGCUCAUCAUCAUCAGCAUCUCCAAAUCAACAGUAAUAAGGCCACACAUUUAUUAGCUGAUGUUCGAGCAGAGAAUAAACGAGUGGGAGCAGCCAAAAAUGAACCCAGUUCUGAGGUCAGAGAUUUGAGGAGAAGUGCUGCAGCAAACUUUCCAAAGCCAGACCCCCCGGUGUGUAUUUUCUCUCUGCCAGCCUCCAGCAGCUCGCAGAGAUGAGCUGUCUGAGAAGAGAGGCCAAUGCUUCUCGUCUCAUCUCCUUCUAAUCCUGCAACCUUCCUCCUCCCCCACCUCCUUCCUCCUACCUCCUCUUCCACACCCCACUCAGCGACACUCAGCACUGGACGGUCCGUGCAGUAUAUAUUCCACAUCCCAUUUCUCCUCCGACUAAUUGGAAACCAGGAGUUGCUUUGUGUUUUUAUUUUUAGUUUCCCAGAUGCGGUAUCUUGUUAUUUCUGCGUUUCUUUUGUUCUGCUCCUUCCUGUCUGCUGUGUCAUUUUUCUCUCUCGCUAUCAUUCAGAUGUGAGAUAGACGGUAAACUAACCCGCUCAGUUGUCUCAGUGUAGCAGAGAAAUGAGGGUGUAACCUGUGAAACCAAGCGUGCCCUUUAUAUUGGUUCGUCUGCAUGCAAGAGAGGGGCCCAGAGACUGGAGGCUUUAUUGGAACAGAUGACCUCGGGUUUAUGUUUCAUACAUCAUUAUCUCAAAGCCAAUCUCACUAUGCCUUUUAAACGCACAAGCUCACACACACCCACAUAUACACACACACACUUUAUCUCCAUCUCCACUUCUCUUUACCCCCUUGUCUUCCUCACACACACACACACAAACACACAGAGUGGAAGAAGGACAAUGUGCCGUAAGGGUUUUAGUCUGGGGACUGGUGGUAGUGCACUUAGUCUUACAGCAAUUACCUGAUGUGCAGCAGAGACCAUGUGAAGGGUCCGGGGGAGAUCCAUCAAAAUGCAGUAAAGCCGGUGGGCCUGUAAUGAACUGGUGCUUUCCCAGCUCCCCUUCUGCACACCACAUCAGUGUCCGUACCCACGUAUUAGUCAUGACAAAUGUAGGCCCUUAACCGGCUCUGUGAGUGUGGAUUUAAGAAAAGCGACUUCACUCAGAUCUCAUAACGGCCCCUCUUUGUGCGUGGAGUCGACCUCAUGGUUCCCUGCAUCUUUAAAUUCCUGUUCAGCUCCCCGGUAGGAUUGUAAAGAUCUAUCUACACAGUUAUAUCUUAAAUCUUUAAGCUCCAAAUGAAGGUUUUAGUCCACUAAUGAAAAAUGUUAACUCAGAAUUGGUUCAUAUUUAAUGUUUUAAAGCUACACUGAAUGUUAAAAAGCCAACCUUUGCAGCACAGUCAUAAAUUACUAACACUGAGAGGGAGUCCUUCUUGGAGAAGUUAGCAUUUUAAUCAUGUUUAAAAAAGAGUAUUAGUCAAAUUAUUGAUGAAAUAUUUGAUGCAACACGUAUUUUUAACUUAUCCUUCCAUUGACUGCAGGAUACUUGAGAGUCUUGGUGAUCUGAUUUAUGUUAGAAAUGUUAGAUGUUUUAAAGGAGUUUUACACCCGCUUUGAAUGCUUUAUAUUUUUCUGUUUUCAGACUACCUUGCAUAUAAAAUUAAGUGUAAUAGAAAUUUACAUUUAUUUUGUUGUCAGGUUUAAACAACAACAAUGAGCAGCUGGUGGUCAUAGUGGAUGGAUGAGCUAAAAAAUGCACACACCUAUGAAAAGUUUAUAUUAAGAGUUUAAUGCCUAAAGGCCUUGGCUGGAUACUGAGACCAAUGUUAGGUCAAUCAUCUGUUUAAACAUUUUAUUUAAUUUAUUUGAAACUGACUGAUAGAUCUAAUUAAUUAAAAAGUGCAAAAAGUCAGAGAUCACAUGACUGAGUGACAUUACAGUUUCAUGAUUGGUCAAAAGUCUGUGGCCUCUGGACUUUAGCUCUUUGUAAGGGAGCAAGCCAUGAAACCUGUUGCCCAUUGAGUAAAUGAAGGAGGAUGUUCCAGAGCUUGGGCUGUAAAUAGUAAAAGUGACUGUAAAAGUCUGUUUUAAAGUAUUGGAAGGAUAGUUUUUUUUGUCAUUAUUGUGCAGUGUUUACAGACUCUACACCAGCCUCUCCUGGUUGUAUCUGUAGAUUGGAUGUGUCCCCUAAAACUAACACGAGUACCUUCUGAUCUGAACCCCCAAAAGGCGGAGCUCUCCCUGUUUUCAUAGUUUGACUCAUGAAGUUAUUGAAGUUUGCUUACAGUUUUGGAAACUGCAGAAAUGUAAAACAGGGGUGUUCCUGCUGUGUAUCACUUGUGUCCCCUGGUGACACUUUUAGCUCUUGCCUGUUUCUGUUUUGGUGAAUUUUUAUGACUUUUCUGCAAAGUCUCUCAUCUGUUCAUACCAAAAUGCAGAAUAUGGAGGUACAGGACCAGAUAUUCCUACCAAGGGUGUUCUGGUUCUUGUUUGUAGGCGCUGGCAUGGUUUGUUAAAGAGUCCAUGUGUGGCUCUCUUUUGUACAUUUUGUCUGUCUUCAGUGUUUCUCAUUAGAGGAUGAAUGAGCAUUAAGUCAAGUCUGCUGUCCAUCUUAUAUUCAUGAAUGCAUCUGAUCUGAUGUGAUAUCCGUGCUUAAGUGUAGGAACACUUAACCCUCCAUUUCCUGCAUUCAUUCAUUUAGUUGUAUUGUGAUGCAUCUGCCUGCAUUGUGUUUAAAUUGAAAUAAGCAAUCACACAAAAGAUAAGAGCAGACAGUCUCGUUAACAUGAGGUUGGGUCUUGUUAUUGGACUGUCUGGCAUGUUUUUUAAAAAAGAAAAUAACUGAACUGCUUUGAUGAGAUAUUUUCCUUGAGCCCAGUUACACAUGAAACCGGAAAGUUCAGUCUGCAUCCUCAUCGUGUUACGGGUCACCUCUGAGUCACAGACUCUCUUUUGACAGUCAGUUCAGGUUCAGGUUCAGGAAGUUUCACGGAUUCAUUUUCUCUUCAUGACAUCUCAUUUUAGGAUUACCUGCGGCAGUGUUGUGUUGCCACGGACAAGUAACCCCUUUUACUAAUCUGUCACCACGCUUUAAUGGAUCUUCAUUCGGGAUAUAAUUAUCUGGUUAAACUGUCACUCAAAAUCUUGUCAGGCAUCGAGUUGCCCUUAAGGAAAGAAAACCCAAUAUUCUCCCGGCAAACAGUGAAGAGUCACAAAAGAAAUGAAGCUGCCAGGAGGCUCAUUGAUGUGAUUUUUUUUGCUGCUUUUGAAAGAAAAUCCGUAACGCAGGAAAGAAAUGAACAGUGAUUCAAACAUUUUAUGUAUUUUCAUAUAAUUGGUGCAAGAUAUUGUGACUCUGCAUGUACAAAGACCAAAUAAAGCAGAAUAAAGAAUGAGAUAGUGAUUACCUUAAAAGAAAUUCAACGUGCUGGGGAAUGAAAAUUACUCUAAUGUGGGAUAAAAUGCUAUCAUAAUGGAGUAGUGAUAAAAGGAAAAUAAGUCUCAAGCCAUUAAAAAGCUUCAAUCUGCAUUUUUUGUUCACUUUUGUUUCAGUAUGUGUUGCUUUAAAAUGUUUUUUUAAUGAUCCGGGAUCAUUAAGACGUUGUAAUGACUGUUUUGCAUAUUCAUUCUUUCCUUUGUGUUUGAUAGUUUCUUUUUGUUUGCACUGCCAUCAUGUGAACGUCUUUAUUCUUUCAUUAAUAUCAUUGAAUAUGCACCCUGAAAAAACAAGAGACAACUCAAUCUGCCUCCUGACGCCACACUGAGCUCUAGUUUGGACUCUUUUUAGGCUCAUUUUUAGCUUUACUGCUGCAUUUUGGCACUUUAACGUCUUUUUAUUUUAUAACUAGACCCCUCUGAUCUGAAGCAAAGUCGCAAACACAACAAUAUGAAUCCAAGACGCUUCAUUUCAAUGACUGAAGUUUUUGUGAUGAUCAAAAUCAAUUAAUGAUGUUUUGGUACAACUUUUAAGUCACACAGCAUCUAAAAAUGUCUGUUUUAGGUUGUUUUUUGAUCCCAUUAAACAGAAUUAUGGAGUUUUGACACCAUUUCUAUCUUUUCUUCACAUCUCUUCCCACAUAGGAAAACCUCUUCUGUAACAUCCAUCCUCAAAUACGCACAUGAACUAGAUAAUAAAAUACAGCUCAUCAUACUUGCGUUUCUCUCUCUGUUAAAGGGAUAUUCCAGAGUAAAAUUAACUUAUGGUCAAACACACCGUAACACCGAGUUAAACACACCGUAACACUGUAUACAUUUUUCUCCCCCCUGCUUGUGAUGUUGACAUGUAGUUACAGUAAGACUGGUUUGUGUUCAAGUCCUCUUUUUUUCUGUGAAGCUCCGUUUUUAAAAGUUAUUAGGGGGUUCAUGUUUUCUUUGAUUUUCACCUGAUAGGCGUUCAGGGUUUGCGAAGCUCACCCGUGGUAUACGCUGUUUGAGUCGAGCAUCAUCACAGCGACUCUCGGAGACUCUCCCGCCAAAACUAGCGCUGCACACAAUGCUACUGCACAGCGCUAGUUUCAGGAAAUGAAGUAAAAUCCCAGAAAUACCGAGAGCUUUUUGGCUUCAAAUCCAAAAGUCCAAGUUGCCUUUAGUUUAUACAGUCUAUGGUUUAGUCUCUUUGCUAAAGAAACCAGACAAAGGUGAAAAGCUGUUUGGUGGCUAGUACUAUGGCUAGGACCCAGGUUAGGUGCUGUUCUGAGUAUUAUUUGUGGCUAUAGAGUGGUGUUUUGGUUGAAGUUUGUUUAUUGCUCCUCAGACCGCUGUGUAUUGCCAUUGUGCGGUCGUUACUAAAGUUGGUUUAACUAGAGAAGAAAGUAGUCAGCAGCAUUCAUCUCUCAAGGGGGUGUCUAACUCGGUGUUACGGUGUGUUUGACCCUAACUUAAUUUUAUGCCAGAAUAUCCCUUUAAAGGUUGACCAAACUGGCCUCUUAUCGAUACUAGAAGCUGGGUAGGUGAAAGAUGAAUUUCAGUCCAUUAAACUCCCCACAGGAGCUCUAAUUAUCAGAAAACUAAUAUUUUAUCUUUAGAAGUUUCAAAAAUCAAAGUAGUCUGAUUUCUGUCUAACCUCUGUUGAUCAAAAACUCCAAUGGCAGUCAAAUAAUGACCCAAGUUCACACAAAUCUGCAGUAAUCCUACCUCUCGGUGACAGAUAAAGAAAAUUAAUGAGCUGUCAUAAGAGUCAAGCAUAUCAGCCAUGAAAUGUCAGCGUUCCUUUAAUUUAAUCAUUUCUCCCUCUCAGUGAUCUUAACUUAUUCUCUGGCCCUCUAUUUAGGGAAUAUAAUUUAAAUCUCACCCAGACGUCUUGAUCAGAGCGAGGGUUAGAUCGCUGCAGGCCAAAGCGAGGCUGUGAAGCAUUUGUUAAAUGGACACAUGGCCAAAACCACAUGUGACCAGGAUCCUCGGGUACCUGCAGGGUAUUAGGGCUGAACGGAGGAGGGGGCUCAGGAUGGUGGAUGGAGAGGUGAUGACACUUGGCUGCAGUAAGCGCGGCUUCAACGUCUGCUGCACACGCAUGCAUAAGUAUACAUACACACACACACACAUGCACACACUUGAGCCAAGCUUUUAGGGUCUUGGUGGGACACAGGGGGGGAGAGGCAGAUGGGGGAGGACAUGACCGGUGUCCACAGGGACAGCUGCAGAUGUCUCCCCUCCUCGCCGCCUCACACCUGUUACACAUCAUGUUCGCUACAUCACACACAGCAUCCGGGGUGAACCCCACACACUCUGAAAAUGAACACAUAACAAAUAACAAAUAAACAAACGCUUGUUUAGCACAUUUCAACGUCUUCUUUUUAUAUGUCAGACUGGUUUUUAAGUCUUAAUGUUUGAGGUUGUUUCCUGUGAUUUGAUUGUAUGUGCUGUAACAGUCCUCAAGGGGUUCAUAGAGUAUUUAUCAUUAGAACAGAAAAUCAUUUUUAUCGUGAAUGUCUCUGUCAAGCAUUUAAAUCAUUUCUCAUGUGUUGAUUGAUAACCUGUUUAUAAUAGGUACAGAACAUUAAUCCUCUGAGAUGACAAAUUCAGGUCACAGGCUGAACAGAAGUUCCUCUAUUAGCAGUAAAAAAGCUGAAUAUCUAACAUUAUAUAUCUUCUAUACACCCUACGACUUUUAAUGAUGGAGAAAGUUAGUGAUUUUUCCACCUUGUAUCGAUCCCAACAUAUGAUCUAAGAUAGUUAUAAACAAAGUUGUCCAAAUGGAUUAUAAUCUCUAUAUUUACCUGACAGUAAACCCAGUAGAAAUAACAUUUAGCGACACAUAGCUGUCAAGCUCUGGACUGAAACAUACCCUUUCCAUCACUGAGGUUCCAGAGGAGACGGUGGCCUUUGAGGACAAAAAGCUGCUCUGAUAUAAUUUUUUAAGUAUGAAAAAAAUUCAAUCAAAACAAACGUUUUCGCCUUCAUCAAUAAUCAAUAACCACCCUCCUCUUCCUCAUCCUCUAACAGGCAUGUUUCCACAAAAUUGUGCUCAUUCUGUGGAGUGAGGGGUCAGGAGUGAGUUUUCCUCCCGUAGAUCUGCACAGAAGACGUUCAGAGUUGUAAGUAUUAACCAUGUUCACUGUUGAAGAUCAUAGAUUCUCAUGUUUGGGGGCAUUUCUGAGGACGGCCAAGCAUAAAAUAGAUUCCCAUCGUCGGGGUCGGGCUUUCUUUGACAGAGCUGCAGGGUGGACUCCUCCUCUAGCUUUGUUUUGAUAGGACGGCACAGCUUGAUGUCAUGUUUUGGUCAUGUGCAAAAACAAGAUGUUCAGAAGAGCCUGAAAAUAGGUCUUGAGAUCGCACCAUCAUCCAUGUGUUUCACGUUAUAGAACUUUGCAAUGGGACAUCCAACAUUGUACUACUAGUGUAUGUUUGUAUUUGAGUAUAAAUCAGCAUAAUAAGGUCUCCUCUGAGGCCACCGACCCUUUUUGACCUGAGAAGUGAAAACUUGACAUCUGACUCGAGUCUUUACCACAUAAAGAGAGUCAUUUCUUGGAAGACCAGUCAUGAGGUCACGCUCCCAGUUUCAAAUGUUCACACCAUAAAUCUCAACUGGCUCCGUAUUGAUGAAGGAAAAGCAACCCGCCGUUAAAGUCUGCCCUUCAUUAUGGUGAAGCAGACUGGUGUAAACAUCGCUCAGGAAGCUGCGCUAAAAGACAAAGGGCAACGAGAGGUCAGGUCAGAGAGAAGAGAGAGGUCAAGUGAGAGGAAGAGUUACGGCUUCCUGUAAAGUCUUUUGUUUCAGUUCAGAGAAAAUGUUCCUUAUUAGAGGAUCUGAAAAGAAGAAAGACGCUAAACAAAUACAAAAAUCAAUAACCUGCCUGAUUUGUGAGGCUCACGUCUCUUUGUUCUGUUUGCUCUUUACAGGUGUUGCUACUUACAAAGGAUCUCUCCUCCAAUAAGUAAUUUAGAGCUGCAGGCCCAAACACACAAGUUCACAGGCUUGUUUGCUGUAAUGAUGUCUGAAGAUAAAAAUGUGUUUUCAUGGCUGACAUGGUGCACGGAGGAGCUCUGAUUUUCCACUGAUAAGCAAAAGCUAAAGAACGUGUCGACAUGUCUAAAACAUGACUGAAUCUCUGAUGAAAUAACAAUAAUGUCAAUAACUUUCAUUUGCAGAGCACAAAAUCCACAAAGUCUGUAAAAUAAAUCAGGUGAGCAACAUUUAACAAGGUGUAUUUAAAAUUUUAAAAGGGCUUUAAAAGAUUUAAAAAAAAACUCUUUAAAGGGAAAAUUAAUUAAUUUGAGAGAAAUCAGAAAAGGCUCGCCGAUAAAAUUAUGUAUAAGGGAAGAAAUCAGCGACUCAGCUAACCUGAUUCCCUCCCCUGGACCAUGUGCAAAAUUUGCAGUUCAAUAAAUGUUUUAUGUAACAUUCAGGGUUUUUUCAUGUCAAGUCUUUGAACUCACUGGAGGUUCAUUUGCACUGAGACUAAAACUGGCUGUAAAACUCGAUAGACCAUUGGCUGGAUUUGGAAAAGCAUUAAUCAACCAAUCAAGUGCUUCAUUGUGACAUGAGGGAGGGUUAUUUUUCUCCCUAAAAUAUAGACUCAGAAAACAAAGACAUAUCUGUUAAUUAUGUGUCUAAAUAUCCUGUUUGUGUAUCUGAUUAGCCCUGUCUUUGCCACAGAGUCAAACUGCCCCUCCAGCUGACUCCAGCAGACUGAAGCUCCUCCAGUUAGCGUUGCCAGCUGCCCUGAGGCCAGUUUAACCUGAGAGGAGAGAUGCACCUGUACAAUAAUAAGCUGGGAUUGCGGCGCUCAAGCUCACUAAAUCUCUGUCCACUCAACAGGUAUUAAACCCUGAGCAGUGGAGCACCACACAGGGGGGCUGCACACAUCUCCUCCUCCCUGCUGAUCAGCCUGCCUGCCAACGUUGUGCAAAGAAAAACCGGCGGCGCAGUAACUCGGCCUGCAAAUUACUGCCAGGGUAUUUGAUAUAAGUGUUAAAAGACGGGGUUGUCGGCGCUGCACAUCCCUCAGUUUCCUCAGCUGAACAUGUUUU